AUUGACUAAGGUUUCCAGAGGAAGGCUCGUCCGCUCUGGGUUAGUCGGGUCCUAAGCUGAGGCCGACAGGCGUAGGCGAUGGAUAACAGGUUGAUAUUCCUGUACCACCUAUAAUCGUUUUAAUCGAUGGGGGGACGCAGUAGGAUAGGCGAAGCGUGCGAUUGGAUUGCACGUCUAAGCAGUAAGGCUGAGUAUUAGGCAAAUCCGGUACUCGUUAAGGCUGAGCUGUGAUGGGGAGAAGACAUUGUGUCUUCGAGUCGUUGAUUUCACACUGCCGAGAAAAGCCUCUAGAUAGAAAAUAGGUGCCCGUACCGCAAACCGACACAGGUAGUCAAGAUGAGAAUUCUAAGGUGAGCGAGCGAACUCUCGUUAAGGAACUCGGCAAAAUGACCCCGUAACUUCGGGAGAAGGGGUGCUCUUUAGGGUUAACGCCCAGAAGAGCCGCAGUGAAUAGGCCCAAGCGACUGUUUAUCAAAAACACAGGUCUCUGCUAAACCGUAAGGUGAUGUAUAGGGGCUGACGCCUGCCCGGUGCUGGAAGGUUAAGAGGAGUGGUUAGCUUCUGCGAAGCUACGAAUCGAAGCCCCAGUAAACGGCGGCCGUAACUAUAACGGUCCUAAGGUAGCGAAAUUCCUUGUCGGGUAAGUUCCGACCCGCACGAAAGGCGUAACGAUUUGGGCACUGUCUCAACGAGAGACUCGGUGAAAUCAUAGUACCUGUGAAGAUGCAGGUUACCCGCGAC
rnacentral:rRNA from 1 species